CCUACGGGUGGCAGCAGUGGGGAAUAUUGCACAAUGGGGGAAACCCUGAUGCAGCGACGCCGCGUGAAGGAAGAAGUAUUUCGGUAUGUAAACUUCUAUCAGCAGGGAAGAAAAUGACGGUACCUGACUAAGAAGCCCCGGCUAACUACGUGCCAGCAGCCGCGGUAAUACGUAGGGGGCAAGCGUUAGCCGGAAUUACUGGGUGUAAAGGGAGCGUAGGCGGUUUAGCAAGUCAGAUGUGAAGGCCCGGGGCUCAACUCCGGGACUGCUUUUGAAACUGGUGAACUAGAUUGCAGGAGAGGUGAGUAGAAUUCCAGGUGUAGCGGUGAAAUGCGUAGAGAUUAGGAGGAACACCAGUGGCGAAGGCGGCUCACUGGAC
rnacentral:rRNA from 1 species